AUUACUUUGGCAGAUUAGUGUUUAGGAUUUAGAAUCUUAAAAUGUAUUAAAAUUAAUACAAGUAAUA
rnacentral:tRNA from 1 species